ACACACCAUAGCCUCCGACCGGCAGCGCCCAGUGCCCACAGACAUAAAAACCAUGCGUAGGAUUAUAGCGGCCCUCUGUCUUUCCUUUCUUCUCACCCCAUCCUUAGCUGAAUUGGCUGCAUCACCUCCGACGCUGCCAUCCAGACAUUCCGGUCAUGCCGACGAAUGUACUGCCCUCCUCCAGUUCAAAAAUUCACUAAAAAUCAAUGAAGAAAUUGUGACUAGAUAUGUAUGUGCAGAGAGUGGCGCCAAUUACACUUCGUCUCUGAAGACAGCCUCUUGGAAGGAAGGUACCGAUUGUUGCACCUGGGAUGGGAUUACAUGCGAUAAUAUUACUGGUAACAUAAUCAAAGUGGACCUUACUUGCAGUUAUCUUCAAGGCACCCUCCAUUCCAACAGCUCCCUAUUUUCACUCCAUCAUGUUCAGAGACUCUACCUCAGAGGUAAUCAUCUAACCGGGCCUAUUCCAUCUUCGAUAUGCCAAAAGAGUUCUCUUAGUUUCCUGGUCUUGACGGAUAAUUACCUGAGUGGCACCAUACUCCCAUGCUUGGGUAAUCUGAGCAAUCUCGUCGCUUUGGAUUUGGGUUUUAAUCAGCUGGAGGGUUCACUGCCGAGGACUCUAGCAAACGGUACAAAUUUAAUGUAUCUUUCUGUCCAUGGUAAUGAUAUAAAUGACACUUUCCCUUUCUGGCUAAAAUCACUACCACUUCAUAUGUUGGAAUUGGGUGCAAACAACUUCCACGGACUCAUUACAUCGGGUCAUGCUGCAUUUCCCUUCCCUUAUCUUGGUAUCCUCAUGAUCGGUCAGAACCACUUUCACGGCCAGUUGCCACCAGAAUACCUGCAACUUUCAAACUUAACUUAUAUUGAUCUAUCAGGAAACAAGUUUGAUGGUUUUCUCCCUAUUCCACCAGUCACAGCUGAAGUAUAUACUGCUGUCGGCAACAAAUUUGCAGGAGAAAUCCCUUCCUCCUUCUGUAAUAUUACCACUCUAUUUCUCAUUGACAUGUCAAAUAAUAGCUUGACUGGCGAGAUUCCUCAGUGUCUUAUCAAUGUCAAUACCAACCUAGCGAUGUUAGCCCUAGCAAAGAAUAGAUUACGAGGCCCCAUACCAGAAAUAUUAGAUCGAAAAAAUUGCAGCCUGAAUACCAUUAUCUUGAGUCAGAAUCAUUUACAAGGCAAGCUGCCACGAUCAUGGGCGAGUUGCAAACAGUUGGAAGUUUUAGAUCUCUUUGACAACGAAUUGGAGGACUCAUUUCCGAGCUGGCUUGAAACACUCCCAAACUUGUACAUUCUCGUCUUAAGGGCCAACAAGCUCCAUGGUCCAAUAACUAGUCCCAAAUUCAUUCAUCCGUUUCCAGUGCUGCACAUCUUUGACAUCUCUAACAACAAUUUCAUUGGAACUUUUCCGAGCCAAUACAUCGCCAAUUUCAACAAAAUGAUGGGUGGAGACAAAGGACAAGGGCUUCUACAGCAUGGUACCGAGGUGUGGUCCGAAUUCCAGUCUACAACUGUGAUUUACAAAGGGGUGCAGAUGCAGUUGUCACGUAUACGUGAAGCAUUAGUCGUCAUUGACCUAUCAGAUAACCAUUUUCAAGGGGAGAUACCCAAAGUAAUGGGAAAUCUACAAUCACUUACUGGGCUCAACUUAUCGCAUAACAACUUUCGAGGUUUGAUCCCAACUUCUCUUGGAAAUUUGACACAUCUAGAGUGGCUUGACCUGUCCUCGAACAAUUUCGCUGGAGAGAUCCCUGCAACAUUGACAAAUCUGACAUCACUGGCCAUCUUCAAUGUCUCCACAAACCAGCUCACAGGACAGAUUCCUCGAGGGAAACAAUUCGACACUUUCAGUGGUGAUUCUUUUGAAGGGAAUCCCAAUCUGUGCGGACCUCCCCUGCCAAAACCUUGUACAGAAAGCCAUCAGGAAGAGGUGCCAUCGGCCUCCCAGGAUGAAGAUGAUGCAGAGCGAUGGGUUGAAUGGAGAGCAGUGCUGAUGGGAUACGGAUGUGGAACUGUAAUCGGUCUUUCUAUUGGAUAUAUUUUUAUUCAAAUUAGAAGGCCGCCUGCAUGGCUCAUCAAAAUGGUCGUGAAAAAGCAAACCAGAACAGAAAACAAGCCACGGAAGAGCAUUCUGGGGACUCAUGGAAGGAACCAUCGAGCCCUGUGAAUUUGACGAGGCAACGGAUGGUUGAUGUGAGUGGACUCUGCAUCAAGUGCGAGGAACAGAACAACACAGCGGUCCGACUUUUUAUGUUCAAGCCAGAAGGAGGUAGGAUGGAAGAGCUAUUAAAUGUAUACCGGACUGCAGAGUGCUUCCGGGUCAAACGCCCCGCCCAGAAACUGUCGGGUCAAACCCCGACACGAAGCCGGUGACGUGAAAAAGCCAGGCAGCUGCAAGCGCUUUUUCACGGCAGAAAUGUCUGGAACUUCGAAGAAGGACGACGGCUACUGAGAGAGGGAAGGAGCUGUAGAAGGAGAUGGCCCUGUAUCUGACGGUUUUGAGGAUCAUCAUUGUCACAUAUCAUCGCUAUCUGAGUUUGUCUUCAUAAAUCCAAACUCUAAGGGCCAGUGCGGCUGCAAAGAGUCCUUUAUGACCGUGAGCGAGGUAGUUGAGGCAGUUGCUCGAGCUGGGAACUGACUAAAUUGAAAAUCACAAACAUCAGAUGUGCUGGAAGCAAUAUCUGAGGUGCUACACUUACUGAAGGGUGCUAUGCUGACUAAUGUUUGCCCGGUUCAACCAAUAUGUUAGAUGGUUCAAUAGGUUCUGUUUCCCUUUUUCCUUGGCCUGCCUCUUUUAAAGCAGACACUUAUCAAACUCGUUAUGUACAUUUUGUGAUUAUGCACCGUUGUCAGAUCCCGAAGAGGGGAAGAAAAGAGAAACAUAGCAAUAAAUGAGUCUGUCAUCCUUUGCAAA